GCAUGAGAAGGAAUGUGGGCAGCUUCUAAGAGCAAACAACAGUUCCUGGCUGACAGCCAGCAAGUAAACGAAGACCUCACUCCUCCACCUGCAGGGAACUGAAUUCUGCUGGCACCUGAAUGAGCUUGAGAGCGGGUUCUCGUCCAAAGCCUCCAGCACACUGGAAGACAUCUUUGUGAUAGAAGGGUCUGUCUAGCAGAGGACAGGCUGCAGGGUCCUAUAGGAGGGAAAUCUGAGACCUGAACAUGCAGAGUCUUCCGCUUUCCACUGGCUUCCUUCUGAGACGCCAAGGGCGAGAAGCUACAGUGCAGGAGACUCAACUGGCACCUGAAAACUUGAAGCAAAAGUCGUAGAAAAUAAAGCGUAAUGAUUGGCGGAGCUCUGGAGCCGGACCACAUGGGCUCAGAGUACAAUGCCAUCGCUUUCAAACUAUAGAAUCUCAGACAACUAACCUCUACAAGUUCCAGGUUCCUUAUUAGUAAAUAGGAAAGCAUAGCGCUUAUCUUAUGUGUGUGCUUAUGUGUAUUCAGUUAAGCAGUGUUUACUGUAGCUCAACUUGUGUUAACAGUUAUUGUUUUCAUGGUUAUUAUUACUCUCUCCAGAGGCUCUGGACUUAAUGUGAACCCCCUUGGAGGCCUCUCUCCCCAUUUCCGUUGACAUUUGAGAGAUUCCCGUCCCCUGCUGCUCGUGUUUCUCCCCCAUUCCAACUUCUAGAAUGAGCUCCUCUUCCCACUACCCACCCCACAAAUCACCAGAGACUGUUUGCUUUGGGGAUGAACAGGCAGAGAUGGAGGAGGCAUGGGGGCCGGCUGAGUCCCACCUCCAACCCCCGUCUCUCCCUCCUCCUCUUCCCAGGGAUGGGUCUCAUAAGCAGUACCCCUGGAGCCUGCUUCGUCCCUCACGUGCUCUCCCAUGGGACUUCUGGAACUCUUCAGUACAUUUCUGAACCAUCCCCAAAGAAUGUGAUGACUCAAUCAAAACUGUUUUGUCCUCCUCUGGGAAGAGAAAAGCCAAGGUGAUGAGGAGGCAAAUGCCAUGGUGAGAAGGAUCAUCCCUGCAGCUCUUGGAAGAAAAGAAACAUGGAUGGUAAAGACAAGCGAGUGCAGAAUGUGUCCCAGGAAUGAUCACUCCACCCCCCACCAAUGCUUUGUACCCUGGCCCCUUGGCCACCACGCCUGCUGCUCCUCACCCCUUCCUCUGAGGGGGCUGGUGACCCAAUCACUAAGCCACCACUCAGACCGAGGGUCCCAGACAGCCCCCACUCUCCCUCUGGUUGGGGGUCUGGAGGGGAGGGGAAGUAGGGAGCACUUCUCCUAUCUCAAGUCUGAACUCUGAGCUCAUUUUUUUAUAGUAUAGAAGAGAAACUUUUGUUCCUUGAGCACUUGCUCUAGGCCAGGCCCAGAAUAAGUUAAGUCAUAGGGGAACCUCAGUUAAUAAUAGGGGUGAAGACACAGACGUCUGUGUAAGGGAGGCCUGUACCUGAGACGUGGCGGAAAAGCUGCCCAUGAAAAUCAGGGGUGGCUUCCCAGAGGAGGCAGCCAUGGAGCUACUGGGAGAUCCACUGGAAUUACUACUCUUUUUUGGCCUCUCGUAUGUCAGCAUUUUAUAUGAGUAAGUAAUUUAACCUAGAUAGCUUGCACCCACCUCAGCUCACGUCCAAAAUUAGUUUUCUUUCGGCAUCGUAUAAAUACUCGUUUCUGUGGACCUGCCCUCGAGGUGUUAGAGGAGGUAGGUAAGAACCCUGGCAGGGAUAUUACCUGACUGCAGAGGAGGGAUGGGGUUUACAAACUAUUUUAGUAAGAGCGCAGCCUCUGACUAGAUCACUGACCAUCUGCAUCCUACCUGGCAGGUUUCACAGGCAAGGCUCACCUUGAGGUUAACAAACAUGCUCUGAACGCCUUUUCUACAUCACACCUGGAAGAUGCUGUGCUGAAUGGCCCCUUUGGCCCCGGGCCCUGCCCUCAAGGCACAAGCAGUCUGCUCCAGGACUCCCAGGUCCAGCGCCUUUGUUUGCUAAUCCAUCUCCUGCAGAGUCUGGGAUGAUCUUUGCCCCACCUGUUAGCAAUCUCUCAGCACCUGUCACACACAUCUAAGAAAACCCUUGCCUGUUAGAGAGGGGACUGGGGCAUGUAUGUUAGAGAUACGGCAAAACCACAGGAGGGUCUAAGGACCUGAAGAUCACUCAGAAGGUAACGUGAUAAAGAAUAAAUGUCAGGCAAUUUUUAAGAAGAAAGUGGACAAGUGGCUUUAGCGAGCUUUUCUUCACUGGGACAGUUUAUGAGCAAGGCUCUGGCAAGCAAGCACGGAAGCAUCGUUUUCCUCCCUCUGCUCUCUGUCAGCAGAACUGGUGGUGCAGCUCUGACAAGUGGCAUCAGCCCCACCGCCGCUCCACGUGAGGCCCGGCCCCCGGGUGCAGAGCCUGAUGAGGAAGCAGCGAAGAAACACACCAAGCGGACUAUUAGCCAAAGAUGCCGGUGCAACGGCGGGCGCGUAGCAAGAAGAUCGGAGUCCAGCCUCUGGAAAGCCUAGGCCCGGCAGUUACGGCCAAAGAAACCAACUUCAAGCACCCACGACGUGCAGAGCACGGAGAUUCACGCUUCCAUAAAGACAGUCUCCUGGUCAGGUUGUGUUGACACGUGUGGCUAACUUUCUCAGUUUAAAACUAACUGAUUCUUAUCCCUAAGAGUUUCACUUUAUGGAACGAUGGCUAUUAUUGAGCACCAGAAACUUGGCCAGAUUCCCUACUUAGUUUAUAUAAUUUAACCUCACAGCAAACCUGAAGGGUAGGUAUUAAAAACCUAAUGAUGAGAGAAAGUAAAGCUCCGAGGGGCUGUGGAAGCUGCCCCCAAGCCAGAGAGCUGAGAGCGAAGCCAUAAUUCAACUCAAGUCCAUCAUCAUCAUCAUAAUUAAUAAAACUCCUGAUUUUUUUGGUACAAAACUUGCUUUUUCUUUUCCCACAUUAUUAAGAUGCAAUUCAUAAUUUUACAUGAUAUAAACUGAAAAAAGAAAAAAGAAAAAAGCCUCUAUGUUCACCCUGGACUAUAAAGGAUGUAUUUAACAGUGUUAGCUUGUAUAUAUAUAUAUUUUUUACACAGCAUUUUGGAUUUUUAGUUAAGAAUACUUUUAUAUUAAACAUACAUAAUACAUUCUUCUUAGAAAGGACAGAAGAUAUAUGCUACUUAAAAAGAAAAGAGAUAAAAAGAAAAGGAAACAGCCAUGACACUGUGGCAGUAUUCUUCCCCUGUAUCGCACCCAGUUUUGCUCUGUGAGUGGAAUUUCUGGGUAAGAAGACACAGACAUUCUGAGGCUUUUUGAUGCAUAUCACCAGAUCGCCCUCUGGAAGCGCUGCAGGGAUGUUUCCCAGUCUUGAGUUUUAUCUCAGCAUUCACUUAGUUUUCAGUCGGGUCACUAGGAAGUACGAACAACUUUAUCUGAUUGUUGUGUUCAUUCUUUGUCAUUUAUGCAUUUACUCAAUUUUCUUUUGAUGUGCUCUUUUCUUCUUAUUGAUUUGUAAGUAUGGUUUAUAUAUCCAGGGUGUUUUUUCUGACACCUAUGUUACUAUAUACCAUUUGUCACUAAGUAAUAUGAUAUGCGGAAUUAUUAUUUUCAGUAUUUACAUUAUCAAUCUUUUUCUUUACUUUCUGCCCAAUACCAGUGUUAAAUUUGUUUACCUUUAUCACUUGUUUCAUUUUUACAGUCUCAUUACUUUUGUGUAAACAUUUGACAUAUCUAAAAUUUAUUUUGGUGUGUGAUGGGAGGUAGAAAGCAUUUUUUUCAGAGCUUUAGUGAAAUAAAAGACAAAACGUAUUUAAUACUUAGGCUUGUCAUGAUUUCCCUCACAAAGAAAAAAACUCCUUUCCUCCAAAAUUUGCCCCAAUUGCUUAGAAAUGUGUUGUCACUGUCAAAAUAAGAUAUAUGAGGGAAAGAGAAUAUGCGGGUCUUCCUCACAGGAAAUUUAAAAAUUGUCAGGGGGACAACACAAACACAAAAUUGUGUGCAUGGUAUUUAUGGUAGUUGUAAAGUACAAAUGAAGGCCAUAUGGAGAGGGCGACUUUGGGAAGAGUGAGAAUUAAGUUGAGCUUCAGGGUGUAAGUAUGAUUUGGCAAGAUGGAGAGGGAGGAGAGAGCGCACGAAAGACAAGAGGAGCUACUGGGCAAGGUCCGGCCACUGGAGCAGCAGCUACCGACCGAGGAGGCCGGGCUGAGCAGGAGAUGAAAUUAACUCAGGGACGUGUUGAGCUGAAGGUUGAUCUGGUUUCUUUUACAUUUAUAAUCAUUUUGCAACAGAAUUUGACUAUUCUUUAAAAGAUUAGACUAGAUUAAGCCAACCAUUGUUCUAAAUUAGGGAAAACCAAGAAGAAAAUAGAAUUUGCACUUGGUACCACCACUGUGUAUCAUUCAUGCCUAUUUUCUUUGCUCCUCCAUUCAUUUCAAUCCCAUCAGAAUUUUACCGACCAGUCAUUUUUGUAUUCUUUUACUGAACAAAUUCUUCUGUGUCUCUAUGAGAUGCUAGGUA